GCGAGGGACUUAACGUAUUUCAAAUAAACCUCUUUGAAUACUUGAUAACGGAUUGUGAUUGUGGUAGAUCCAUUGAAAAAGUACAAUAUGCAUUAUUUUGUCAUGAUAUCGAAGAGGCUUACAAUGAUUAUAACCUUGAUGAUGAAAUAAGUGUAAGAAUUUUCAAGAUUUUGAAUUUUUUGGUUAGAAUUAAAAAGAGAGGCGAUGACAAAAGAGUUGAAAAACUUGAUAUAAAUGAGGUUCAAAUAAUCUCGAAUAAAUUUAGUAAUAUUGAUACAGACAACAAUGGCUUGAUACUUAAGGAACAAUG